GACGGAGGAUGCAAGCGUUAUCCGGAAUGAUUGGGCGUAAAGCGUCCGCAGGUGGCCGUUCAAGUCUGCUGUCAAAGACCGGGGCUUAACUUCGGAAAGGCAGUGGAAACUGAACAGCUAGAGUAUGGUAGGGGCAGAGGGAAUUCCUGGUGUAGCGGUGAAAUGCGUAGAUAUCAGGAAGAACAUCGGUGGCGAAGGCGCUCUGCUGGACCAUAACUGACACUCAGGGACGAAAGCUAGGGGAGCGAAUGGG
rnacentral:rRNA from 1 species